rnacentral:rRNA from 1 species
UACGAAGGGGGCUAGCGUUGUUCGGAAUUACUGGGCGUAAAGCGCGCGCAGGCGGUUUUCCAAGUCAGUGGUGAAAGCCCGGAGCUCAACUCCGGAACUGCCAUUGAAACUGGCGAACUUGAGUACGAGAGAGGUGAGUGGAAUUCCCAGUGUAGAGGUGAAAUGCGCAGAUAUCAGGAAGAACACCCGUGGCGAAGGCGGCUCUCUGGGACGGUACUGACGCUGAGACGCGAAAGCGUGGGGAGCAAACAGG